GAACGCUGGCGGUGUGCCUAAUACAUGCAAGUCGUACGCACUGGCCCAACUGAUUGAUGGUGUUUGCACCUGAUUGACGAUGGAUCACCAGUGAGUGGCGGACGGGUGAGUAACACGUAGGUAACCUGCCCCGGAGCGGGGGAUAACAUUUGGAAACAGAUGCUAAUACCGCAUAACAACAAAAGCCACAUGGCUUUUGUUUGAAAGAUGGCUUUGGCUAUCACUCUGGGAUGGACCUGCGGUGCAUUAGCUAGUUGGUAAGGUAACGGCUUACCAAGGCGAUGAUGCAUAGCCGAGUUGAGAGACUGAUCGGCCACAAUGGAACUGAGACACGGUCCAUACUCCUACGGGAGGCAGCAGUAGGGAAUCUUCCACAAUGGGCGCAAGCCUGAUGGAGCAACACCGCGUGAGUGAAGAAGGGUUUCGGCUCGUAAAGCUCUGUUGUUGGAGAAGAACGUGCGUGAGAGUAACUGUUCACGCAGUGACGGUAUCCAACCAGAAAGUCACGGCUAACUACGUGCCAGCAGCCGCGGUAAUACGUAGGUGGCAAGCGUUAUCCGGAUUUAUUGGGCGUAAAGCGAGCGCAGGCGGUUGCUUAGGUCUGAUGUGAAAGCCUUCGGCUUAACCGAAGAAGUGCAUCGGAAACCGGGCGACUUGAGUGCAGAAGAGGACAGUGGAACUCCAUGUGUAGCGGUGGAAUGCGUAGAUAUAUGGAAGAACACCAGUGGC
rnacentral:rRNA from 1 species